rnacentral:lncRNA from 1 species
AAGAGAGUAUAUGUCUCUUAAAGCAUAGCUUCCGACUCAUCCAAAUCAGGUGAGUUUAAAGAUGGAAUAUAGUCAAUAUUAUGAAAUUUCCUAAACUUAAAUAUGGUGUUAUUUUUCAAUGAAUUGCUCACGUGCUACAAACUUAAAGAUUUAUCUUGCAGGAUCACUUGAAAUCAAAGUAGGCUGCAAAGCUCAAAGGUUGCAAUAGUGAUCAAAGUAGGUUUUACUUUCCCCAUUCAUUAGCACAAUAAGUACAAAAUAAAAUACACAAACAACUACUAUAUCUUAUAGAAGAAGGUUGCAUCAUAACUUUUUCAUAACUUUGGUUCCUGUGAUCUCUUUUGCCUCUCUCGUAAUUUUGUUUGUCAUGGAUUCCCAUCGACAUGAACCAUACUCACCGGUUGAGUUCAGCAUAACUGAGGCCUCAAUCAUUCGGUUCAGUCUCACAAGCAACGAGACCUUAUAUUACAAUUUUAAGGUCAAUAUUACAUCAAGAAACUUUAACGACGAGAUAUCAUAUUAUAUAUCGAAAUGCCGUUGCAAUUUCUUCAUUUAAAGGCAAUGAUAUCUCUUUGGUGAGUAUGGCACCACCUCUCAUCCUAGGGAAGAAGAAUAAUGUUCUACUUGGGUCCUUAGUGUUUGAAGUGAAUAGUGUGUGAUCAAACUCGAGUCUCAACAACCUGUUGAGUAUGAUAAUGAGGCGCGAUUGGGGGUUUACAAUUUAGAUUUUGAACUCUACCCAAUUGUGCAUUGUCUAAGUUUGAGAAUUCGUUUGAUUUUCAACGACAAAUUGGCACCUACUUUCAAUGUUAACUCAUGCUCUUAGAUGCAAGUUAUUCGAGUAUAAUUGAUUGGUAUUUUAGUUGAAAGAUUAAUUUAGUUUAGAUGAGGCAAUUUGGAUUGAAAUUAUGGUUUAGGAUUUGAUUGAUAUGGAUUGAAAUUAGAUUUUAGGGUCCAAAAAAUAAAUAGCAUGAUUUUUUUUAUUCCGGGGGAAUUCAUGAUUUGUGUAAAGCUCUUUAUUUUAUUCAACCAAUAUAAGUGUAAACUGUGAUUAUCUUUCUAAGUUUUGUUUUCAGUUACCGGAUUAUUUUGUAUUAUGGCUGUUGAUGGCUAAUAUUGG